rnacentral:rRNA from 1 species
AGGAUGAACGCUGGCGGCGUGCUUAACACAUGCAAGUCGAACGAUGAUCCGGCGCUUGCGUCGGGGAUUAGUGGCGAACGGGUGAGUAACACGUGAGUAACCUGCCCUUAACUCUGGGAUAAGCCUGGGAAACUGGGUCUAAUACCGGAUAUUGACGCCCUUGCCGCAUGGUGGGGUGUUGAAAGCUUUUGUGGUUUUGGAUGGACUCGCGGCCUAUCAGCUUGUUGGUGGGGUAAUGGCCUACCAAGGCGACGACGGGUA